UGCAGGUUUGCUACAACAAGGCAGUGGGUGU
rnacentral:piRNA from 1 species